rnacentral:tRNA from 2 species
GACGAAUUCUUGGGCCGAGCUGGAUUUGAACCAGCGUAGACAUCUCGCCAACGAAUUUACAGUCCGUCCCCAUUAACCGCUCGGGCAUCGACCC